GCGUCGCGGCAGCAGCUCGACCCGCAGGCGCUGCAGCGGCUGCGCGGCCGCCGCGGCCGCCGGGAGGAGGCCGACAUCAACAUCAUCGACGUCAACCAGGACGACAUCAUGCCGGACCGGGACGAGUGGAUGACGAAGGCAUUGACGGAGGAGACGGUGGUGCGGCGCCCGCAGAAGUCGGCCGACGACCCUACCAUGCAGCAGCGUCGCAAACACCAGAUCACCUACCUGGCGCACCAGGCCAAGGAACGGGAGGUGGAGCUGAAGAACGAGUGGGCCCAGAACCGGGCCACCAAGAACGCGUACCGCACCAAGUACGGGUUCUAGCCGGCCCACCUCCGCCUGCCGUCUUGCGUUGUACAUACGGUGUUGUUGGAAUGUACGUUAUCAUGUUGGUGUCAUUCACACGCAUUCAAUACAAGUCAUC
rnacentral:misc_RNA from 1 species